rnacentral:rRNA from 1 species
GACGGAGGGUGCUAGCGUUGUUCGGAAUGACUGGGCGUAAAGGGCGCGUAGGCGGCCCCUUGCGUCGGAUGUGAAAGCCCGGGGCUCAACCCCGGAACGGCAUCCGAGACGGGGUGGCUCGAGACCGGGAGAGGAGGGUGGAAUACCCAGUGUAGAGGUGAAAUUCGUAGAUAUUGGGUGGAACACCGGUGGCGAAAGCGGCUCUCUGGCCCGGUUCUGACGCUGAGGCGCGAAAGCGUGGGGAGCAAACAGGAUUAGAAACCCUUGUAGUCC